rnacentral:lncRNA from 1 species
GUAUGACAGUGUUAUCACUUGUAUGCCAAUCCUCCUCAACAAAUAAUUCAAGUCAGGACAAAGAAAACAAAUUUAGUACUUCUAGUAUGAAUAACCCAUAAUUGGUUUUACAUAACUGUGCUAAAUAAUUAAACCAUGUUUGAACUCAUAAAGCCGAGACAAACAACUAUAAUGAAAAAGUUUGGAGAGUUCCUCUCAUAAAGUUGAAGUAAACUGCAAGCAACAAAUUGCAUAUCU